AGGUUCAGUCGGAGAUCAUUGCAACCUAUGCCCUCUGUGGGUUUGCAAACUUUGGAUCUCUAGUUAUGAUUGGAUGGCUUUCCUCCAUGGCUCCGGAAAGUAAAGGUGAUAUAGCCAGCUGUUCAAUUAGAGCUCUUAUCACUGGAACUGUAGCCUGCUUCAUGACAGCCUGUAUUGCAGCACAGUAGUAAACAGCCCAACAGAUGUCAUUCUUGGUGUAUACUUUGAGCUCACUAACUGACUUCUGCCAAAUGAUGAGCUCCCAUCUCUUGAACUGCAUUUGCGUUUUCUACUUAUAGUUAUAUUCUCAUACAAAACUGGCUCAACUCACUGCUACCACCCCUGCGCUGACUUGGGAGGGGCUAAGAUGAACACACGCUGUCCUCCGAAGCGUGUGCCGUCAGCCGCCCGCUUCUUUACACACUGCGAACUCACCGUGCAGCCGCCUCAGAGCUACAGCGUCGGAGGACAACGCAGCUCUGGGCAGCUUACAGGCAAGCCCGCAGGCGCCCGGCCAGACUACAGGGGUCACUGCUGCGCAGUGA